CACGUAGGGUGCGAGCGUUGUCCGGAAUUAUUGGGCGUAAAGAGCUCGUAGGCGGUGUGUCGCGUCGGCCGUGAAAACCUGCAGCUUAACUGUGGGCUUGCGGUCGAUACGGGCAUCACUGGAGUUCGGCAGGGGAGACUGGAAUUCCUGGUGUAGCGGUGAAAUGCGCAGAUAUCAGGAGGAACACCGGUGGCGAAGGCGGGUCUCUGGGCCGAUGACUGACGCUGGAGGAGCGAAAGCCGUGGGAGCGAACAGG
rnacentral:rRNA from 1 species